GAUGAACGCUAGCUACAGGCUUAACACAUGCAAGUCGAGGGACCGGCGCACGGGUGAGUAACGCGUAUCCAACCUUCCCAUGACUAUGAGAUAACCUGCCGAAAGGCAGACUAAUACUUUAUGGUUAUGGGUGGGGAUGCGUCUGAUUAGUUAGUUGGCGGGGUAACGGCCCAACAAAGCAACGACCAGUAGGGGUUCUGAGAGGAAGGUCACCCACAAUGGAACUGGGACACAGUCCAAACUCCUACGAGAGGCAGCAGUGGGGAAUAUUGGUCGAUGAGCGAGAGGAUGAACCAGCCAAGUAGCGUGCAGAAUGACGGCCUAUGGGUUGUAAACUGCUUGUGUAUGGGGAUAGGGACCAUACGAAUAAGGACCGGCUAAUUCCGUGCCAGCAGCCGCGGUAAUUC
rnacentral:rRNA from 1 species